UAGUAUUGAAAUUAUUAAAGAAAAAUACUGAAAGAUAAAAAAAAAUGAAAAAUAAAAAUUCUGGGUCUCUAGAUCCCCACUGUCCCCCAUCGGUUGCCGUUGCCGGUCAUCGGAGUUAAUCACGACAGAAAAUUUUUGAGCUCAGUUUUUGUGCGAAAUGGUGAUAAAAUGUGGAACUGAAAGUGAAAAGGAGAUCAGUUAUAGAUGUGUUCAGUGUGGAUUCUCAGUUACAACUCUUUACAUACAGUACUCUCCUGGCAAUAUCCGUCUCAUGAAAUGCGGAAAUUGCAAAGCAGUUGCUGAUGAGUACAUUGAAUGUGAACUUAUGAUAUUGGUCAUUGACUUGAUUUUGCAUAAAAUUAAAGCCUACAGACACUUGUUCUACAAUAGGUUCUCGAGAGAGACUUUGCAUAAUGAGGUCUUGUUGUGGAAAUUAUCUUUGGGUUUCCUGAUUUUAGAUGCUUACCAAAUGUUGGCGGUAUGUACAACUCAAGAUGAGAGGAGUUUGCCUGCAAGCUUUGCCUUAUUUCUGGGACUUUGUGGAAAGGUGCUCAUGGGCGUCUUCUUUGGGAAUCUCAUGUUCCUUGGCAUAAUUCUAUUUGGCACAAGGAAGUUUCUGAAUGCAAAAAUAGGAGAUUCAAGGUGUAAGCAUAUAUUGCUUUCGAUCCUCGUUUCGAGUUACUUCAAGAUUUUUGUUAUUGCCAUGAUGGUGUGGGAAUUUCCCUCUUCCGUUGUUUCCAUCAUUAAAAUGUUUGUCUUGUCAUCUAAUGCACUAGCAUUACUGGUGAUCACAGAUGCGGUCAUGAUUCGAUGCAUAUGGAUCUGCUUUGCUGCACAUGCCAUGAAAUUCCUUGUUACUCAAGGUCUAGGAGCAUAUCAAAAGCUAGUUCUUUGGUAGUCAUUCAGCAGAGUUCAUAAAUCCAUACUCUUUUAAAAAGUAGCAUCUUGACAUUGGCUCGAGAGUAACUUCAAACCUCCAAAAAGUUCAGGCUGAAGAUCUCAUCCUGUGUUGCUUUCAGAACCAUCAGAUUAUAGCUGGGUAUCCUGAAAGGUCCUCAUUUCUUUUGUCUUCGACAUUUCCUAUCCGUCCUUUGUCCAACGUACUAGAAUAAGCUAGGUGGUGUGUUCUCAGAUAGGAAAACUUUACUCUGGUGAUCGCGGAGAUGCCUACGUUCAAACAUGGAGAGAUGGGCAUUGAUACUCUUACUAUGAUAACACUAGUUGUUCUAUUUUUUCAUGUUUUCAGUAAGAGAUAUAUUUAUAUUCUUUUGUAUAACAGUCCAUUUUAUAAUGUAGGUUAACUUUAAGUCAGGAGAAUAUGUAUUAACUAUUAUUAUGUUAUUACCACAAUUUAUUCUCUUUUAGGAUGA